CUGUGUUGGCUUCAGCACAGACUAAAAUUAGAAUGGUAUGGAGAAGAUGAACCUGACCCAGUGCAAGGAUGACACACAAACUCAUGAACUGUUCCAUAUUCUU
ensembl:snRNA U6 U6 spliceosomal RNA